rnacentral:rRNA from 1 species
UACAGAGGGUGCAAGCGUUGCUCGGAUUUACUGGGCGUAAAGCGUACGCAGACGGCAAGGUAGGUCGGAUGUGAAAGCCCCGGGCUCAACCCGGGAAAUGCAUCCGAAACCCCCUUGCUCGAGUAUGAGAGAGGGAAGCGGAAUUCCAGGUGUAGCGGUGAAAUGCGUAGAUAUCUGGAGGAACACCGGUGGCGAAGGCGGCAUCCUGGACCAACACUGACGCUGAGGAGCGAAAGCCAGGGGGGCAAACAGG